AAGACCUUACUUCAUAGGAUCAUUUCUAUAGUAAGUUCUUCACCCAGAAACUCGCAAUAUGUGAGGGCACACAGU